CUCCUGUUUGCAGCCAGAGUUGUUUUCUUCUUCUGAGGACGGGAAAGUUACAGCCAGGGCUUCCUGUCUGCGACUGCCUUCAUGUUGGUGAUUUGUGUUAAAUUGACAACAUAUAGUAUGGAGCGAAGUUCCAGGGAGACUUCUGUAUCCAUGCCCGAGCCAUAGAAAAGCCAGAGAUGGGCUAUAACUUCAAAAGAGUAAUAUCGUAUCGUUACUGUCUGUCUUCUGUUUACACAGUUAUGCAGCCUUCAAAAGAUCAACCCAGUGACCCCAACUCUUUGUUGCUGUCUGUGCUCACUGAUGAUUCAUAGGAUACUGUCUGUGUGCUGUAUGCUGUUGAUUUACUGAAAUACAAAAAACCAAUGGACUCAAUGAUUCUAACAUAUAGAAACUGACACAAAAGAGCAUCCUUGAGAACUUCCUUGAAAAAGUUCUGUUUGGAGGAGUAGGCCUACUGUAAAGUCUGUCAAGUACAGUCUGUCUAUAAAAUGCACCUGUUUGACCUGUCUGUAUUCUCAGCUGCACAGUGUAGGCUCUCUGGAGAAGCCAUUUUGAAUUCCAGCCCCUUUACAGUAAAGUGUUAUUACCUGCGAUUGGGGUGUUUGGGAAGAACCUUAAA